GCUGGUGGGGGAAUCCGACUC
rnacentral:siRNA from 1 species